AUUGAACGCUGGCGGGAGGCCUAACACAUGCAAGUCGAACGAGUGGCGGACGGGUGAGUAAUGUAUGGGAAACUGCCCGAUGGAGGGGGAUAACUACUGGAAACGGUAGCUAAUACCGCAUACCAUCGGAUGUGCCCAGAUGGGAUUAGCUAGUAGGUGGGGUAAAGGCUCACCUAGGCGACGAUCCCUAGCUGGGUUGAGAGGAUGACCAGCCACACUGGGACUGAGACACGGUCCAGACUCCUACGGGAGGCAGCAGUGGGGAAUAUUGCACAAUGGGCGCAACCCGGAUGCAGCCAUGCCGCGUGUAUGAUGAAGGCCUUCGGGUUGUAAAGUACUUUCGGCGGGGAGGCGGUACCCGCAGAAGAAGCACCGGCUAACUCCGUGCCAGCAGCCGCGGUAAUAC
rnacentral:rRNA from 1 species